rnacentral:tRNA from 1 species
GCCGACAUAGCUCAAUGGCAGAGCAGCUGUUUUGUAAACAGCAGGUUAUCGGUUCAACUCCGUUUGUCGGCU